rnacentral:misc_RNA from 1 species
UUUCCGUAGGUGAACCUGCGGAAGAAUCAUUAAAGAGUAAGGGUCUUCGGGCCCGAUCUCCAACCCUUUGUUUAACUACCAUGUUGCUUUGGCGGGCCCGUCUCACGACCGCCGGAAGUUUGGCUUCGACCAAACUUCUGGCCCGUGCCCGUCAGUGGCCCCUUCAAAUUCUUGAUCAAGUAUGAUGUCUUAGUUAAAAACUUAAUAGUUAAAACUUUCAACAACGGAUCUCUUGGUUCUG